rnacentral:misc_RNA from 1 species
AGUUAAAUAGUACGUGAAAUUGUUGAAAGGGAAACGAUUGAAGUCAGUCAUGCUAGUGAAAAAUCAGUUUGACGGGUUUUGAGUUCUUGAGUAGAGGCAGGGUCAAACCGUUUCUCUUUUGGACUUGGGAUUUGUUAGAUGUACUUUUUCUUUGGCAGGUCAACGUCGGUUUCGGGGGUUGUAAAAUACUUAGGGGAAAGUAGCUCUGCUUCGGGAGAGUGUUAUAGACCCUGGGAGAUGCAGCUUGUGGGAUCGAGGAUUGCAGCAAAUGCCUUUGGCUUGUCGCCUGACCCUGGGUGUUACCUCUCUUGUGACAACAUUCUUGCCACCGGAGGGUGCUAAUGCCUACUGUUUAGUGCGAUCGAAAAUUUUGCUAAGGAUGUUGACGUAAUGGCUUUAAA